rnacentral:tRNA from 1 species
GCCGUUGUAGCUCAGUCGGUAGAGCGCUCCGCUGAAGACGGAGAGGCCCGUGGUUCGAUUCCAUGCGGCGGCA